rnacentral:piRNA from 1 species
UCCAAAUUUCCGAAUCCAAAAUGGUCC